rnacentral:rRNA from 1 species
GACGAACGCUGGCGGCGUGCUUAACACAUGCAAGUCGAACGGAAAGGCCCUGCUUUUGUGGGGUGCUCGAGUGGCGAACGGGUGAGUAACACGUGAGUAACCUGCCCUUGACUUUGGGAUAACUUCAGGAAACUGGGGCUAAUACCGGAUAGGAGCUCCUGCUGCAUGGUGGGGGUUGGAAAGUUUCGGCGGUUGGGGAUGGACUCGCGGCUUAUCAGCUUGUUGGUGGGGUAGUGGCUUACCAAGGCUUUGACGGGUAGCCGGCCUGAGAGGGUGACCGGCCACACUGGGACUGAGAUACGGCCCGGACUCCUACGGGAGGCAGCAGUGGGGAAUAUUGCACAAUGGGCGGAAGCCUGAUGCAGCAACGCCGCGUGCGGGAUGACGGCCUUCGGGUUGUAAACCGCUUUCGCCUGUGACGAAGCGUGAGUGACGGUAAUGGGUAAAGAAGCACCGGCUAACUACGU